CCUACGGGUGGCAGCAGUCGAGAAUCAUUCACAAUGGGGGAAACCCUGAUGGUGCGACGCCGCGUGGGGGAAUGAAGGUCUUCGGAUUGUAAACCCCUGUCAUGUGGGAGCAAAUUAAAAAGAUCGUACCACACGAGGAAGAGACGGCUAACUCUGUGCCAGCAGCCGCGGUAAUACAGAGGUCUCAAGCGUUGUUCGGAAUCACUGGGCGUAAAGCGUGCGUAGGCUGUUUCGUAAGUCGUGUGUGAAAGGCGCGGGCUCAACCCGCGGACGGCACAUGAUACUGCGAGACUAGAGUAAUGGAGGGGGAACCGGAAUUCUCGGUGUAGCAGGGAAAUGCGUAGAUAUCGAGAGGAACACUCGUGGCGAAGGCGGGUUCCUGGACAUUAACUGACGCUGAGGCACGAAGGCCAGGGGAGCGAAAGGGAUUAGAUACCCCAGUAGUC
rnacentral:rRNA from 1 species